rnacentral:rRNA from 1 species
CCAGCAGCCGCGGUAAUUCCAGCUCCAAUAGCGUAUACUAAAGUUGUUGCGAUUAAAAAGCUCGUAGUUGGAUCUCAGGCAUGGGCGCGCGGUCCGCCUCGCGGCGGUCACUGCGUGUUUUUUUCCCAUCCUACGCUUCCCGGUUGUUCAGCCCAUGGUGCUCUUCACUGAGCGUUUUGGGUGGCCGGAACGUUUACUUUGAAGAAAUUAGAGUGUUCAAAGCAGGCACGUUGCCUGAAUAAUGGUGCAUGGAAUAAUGGAAUAGGACCUCGGUUCUAUUUUGCUGGUUUUCGGAACACGAGGUAAUGAUUAAGAGGGACAGACGGGGGCAUCCGUAUUGCGGUGUUAGAGGUGAAAUUCUUGGAUCAUCGCAAGACGAACAACUGCGAAAGCAUUUGCCAAGCAUGUUUUCAUUAGUCAAGAACGAAAGUCAGAGGUUCGAAGACAAU